rnacentral:lncRNA from 1 species
GCGCAAACGCAAAAUUAAUCAUUUGUCCUAAAGUCAUGAUAAGAUGUUGAGUAAGUUUGAUGUUUUCUAGAAAGACAUUCAAGAAUCUAAGAUUGAUGCUUACAAGUUGGGCUACCUGGAUUGUCAGAGAAGUGUCUCCCCCUAUCGUCCCAUUAGUAAGGAAGAGGUUGAAUUGUUCUGCCCAAAAAGUUCCUUACUGAGAAGGACUAGAAAGAUUUCUAAAUAUGGAUGUAGUUAAGGAACUUGUUGCUGACAAUGUCGUGGCUGAUGAGCGCAUGGUUAAAGGAGACAAGGCUGGUGAGGUUAAAAUGGAUGAGCAAGAAGCUAUUGUCCAGGAGUCGCUUGUCGAAGCCUUGAAGUAGAUGAAUACUUUUUGCUUUUUUAGUUUUCAUAGCUAUUUCUUUUUUUGGCAAUAAUUUGUCUCGGUUGACCAUAUUCUUUUUAUUGAACUCUGGCCAUUUGGUCACUUUGCUAUGGAAAUUUCAGUUAUAUUUCUUUUUCUUUAAUUUGCUCUAAUUUUUGUGAGCUGUUGGCG